UGCCUAGAUGUCUAAGAGUUACCUUGAGACCAUGAGGAUAAGAACUGCACACUAAGAAUGGGGGAAAAGAAAGACAAAAUGAUCCUGGGACAAUGAUGCUAUUUGAAGCCACUGCAAUAGCCCUGACCAUCUAAUAUUGUUUAUAGAAGAUAUUUUUCCAAUGCUGAAAUUCCAUGCAGGUUCUUGCAAUUCAGUGACAAAGAUGGCCAGCAACAACACCAGGCUUACAUUUUAUUUCUUCAGCAACCUCCAAAGAAAGAGAGCUUCUCUUUAUAAAAGGAUAUCACAAAGUCCUGGGAUUGUAUUUCACUGAAGAAACUGAAAUCAUAUGCCCACUCCCAGGAAAAAAUGAAGAUCAAAAAGGAAACCCCAUCCAAACCACAUGGACUUAAAUAGGAAAAAAGUGGUUUCCCAAAAGAAAAAUCUAUUUGCCAUUAUAAGAAGAAAGGGAAACAGCAUCUGGCCAGGCAAAAAACAAGAGACAGCCACUAAAGGCUCUAUGUAUAAAGAGAAAACAGCCACGUUUUCUGUCCUCAAGAUCUGAACUGGUGAAGAACCCAGACAACUAAAUUAACAACCUGAUGCAGUGCAAUAGGAACUCGACAAAGUUCAGAGGAUAUGGUGCAAGUAGGUGGAAGGGAAUGUGACUCACACUGGGUGAGGGACACAGGGAAGGUCUCCUAGAGACUUGUUUUUCUAUACUGUUGUUUAACAUUCUAUAAUUCUUUCUUGCUCCCCAAUAAGACUAUAAACUCCUUG